GAUGAACGCUGGCGGCGUGCCUAAUACAUGCAAGUCGAGCGAACGGACGAGAAGCUUGCUUCUCUGAUGUUAGCGGCGGACGGGUGAGUAACACGUGGAUAACCUACCUAUAAGACUUGGAUAACUUCGUGAAACCGGAGCUAAUACCGGAUAAUAUUUUGAACCGCAUGGUUCAAAAGUGAAAGACGGUCUUGCUGUCACUUAUAGAUGGAUCCGCGCUGCAUUAGCUAGUUGGUAAGGUAACGGCUUACCAAGGCAACGAUGCAUAGCCGACCUGAGAGGGUGAUCGGCCACACUGGAACUGAGACACGGUCCAGACUCCUACGGGAGGCAGCAGUAGGGAAUAUUCCGCAAUGGGCGAAAGCCUGACGGAGCAACGCCGCGUGAGUGAUGAAGGUCUUCGGAUCGUAAAACUCUGUUAUUAGGGAAGAACAGAUGUGUAAGUAACUGUGCACAUCUUGACGGUACCUAAUCAGAAAGCCACGGCUAACUACGUG
rnacentral:rRNA from 1 species